UGCAUUCACUACUGUAACUCGCUCUGGAUAAGAGCGUCUGCUAAAUGACUAAAA
rfam:Salmo salar isolate Sally breed double haploid chromosome ssa09, whole genome shotgun sequence.